rnacentral:tRNA from 1 species
GUCUCGAUAGCUAAGUGGUAUAGCAUGCGAUUGCAGCACAUCGUUAUCGCAGGGUCCGGUGUUCGAACCACCGUCGGGACU